rnacentral:sRNA from 1 species
CACUAUUAGCGUAUAAAAUCAAUCAAUGUAACUAAGCGAAAAGAACGUUUUUUUACAUUCUGUUAUAUAUUUCGUGAUCUAUGUUGCAGACAGUGAACUAAAUUAUCUGGUGUACUGUACGUGACGCUAAGUUUGUGUCUUUUUUAUUGAAGGUAAGUUUUGAUGUCAAAAGUAAAAGGUAACGUUAAGUGGUUUAAUGAAUCCAAAGGCUUCGGUUUUAUUACUCCGCAAGAUGGCAGUAAAGAUGUUUUUGUACACUUUUCAGCUAUUAAGUCUAAUGGAUUCAAAACAUUGGCUGAAGGCCAGCAAGUAGAGUUCGAUAUUGCUGAGGGUGAGAAAGGCCCAUCUGCUGCUAACGUUGUCGCAAUCUAAUUUCGAAUCUCAUAUUUUGAAAACCCGUUUUGAUAACGGGUUUUUUUA